rnacentral:lncRNA from 1 species
UCGAUCGAUCAACUUCAUAAUUUAAUUUCUCUUAUACAUAUAGUAUAGCAUUACCAUGCCUCAAGCUUGCAUCUCAAUGGCGAGCUCGAUCUUUGCAGUAGCUAGCAGUAGUAACUAACGGCACGCACAAAGCAUCGAUGAGCACCAUGCAUGGAUCAUCACAGCGAAGACGUGCUUAGCUUGCGUAACCAGUAUGUAUCGUCGGAGUAGCUAGCCGAUGAAUUAGUAGCUGUAGUUCUUGACGAACAUGCCCUCCUUGGCCUCGGCGGCCUCGCCGUCGGAGGUGUACUUGCCGAGCUGCGCCAGCGAGUUGGCCUUGGCGCGCAGCAGCAGCGCGUCCUGCGCCGCCUUGACGUUCUCCGGCACGCCGCCCCACGUCUUGAGGCAGGUGUUCUGCAGCGCCCGCGCGUAGGAGAAGGACACGUGCCACGGGUUGGGCCCCUGGUUCAUGGCGUUGAGGUUCUGCGUCGCCUCCACCUCCGACUGCCCGCCGGAGAGGAACAUGAUGCCGGGGACGGAGGGCGGGAUGCGGCGGUGGAGGAGCUUCAGGGUGUACUCGGCGACCUGCUCCGGCGUGGCCCGGUCCUUAGCCUCGGCGCCCGGCGUCACCAUGGAUGGCUUGAGCAGGAUGCCCUCGAACAUGACGUUGUUCUCCGCCAUGGCGUAGAAGGUCUCGGCCCACACCUUCUGCGCCACCUCGAAGGUCCGCUCGAUGCCGUGCUCGCCGUCCAGCAGGAUCUCCGGCUCUACGAUCGGCACAAGUCCGUUGUCCUGCUCGGUCGAUUCCAUUCCAUCGGUGUUAGCUUUUAUUAAUUAGCUGGAUGAACUAUCUCCAUGGCUAGAAGCAAGCAAGAAGGCGUACCUGCGAGAUGGCGGCGUAGCGGGCGAGCCCCCAUGCGGCCUCCUUGACGGCGAGCUCGGAUGGCCCGUUGGGGAUGCUGACGACGGUGCGCCACUUGGCGAAUCGGGCGCCCUGCUGGUAGUAGGCGGCCUCGCGGGCGGCGAGGCCGUCGAGGCCCUGGCACCAGGACUCGUCGUUGGAGCCGGCGAGCGGGACGAGGCCCUUGUCGACCUUGAUCCCGGGCACGAUGCCCUGCUCGGUGAGGAUGUCGACGAUCCGGCGGCCGUCGACGGCGGACUGGUAGAGCGUCUCCUCGAAAAGGAUGGCGCCGGAGAUGUAGUUGCCCAGCCCCGGCGCGGUGACCAGCAGCGUCCUGUACGCCUGCCG